GAUGAGAAAAUGAAACACAGUUGCUGAAAUGCAGACGAGUGGUUUAAUUGAGGCCGUAAAAGGGAAAUUGCGAAAAACUAGGGUGGGAGGUGCACAGUAGUAAGCAAGCAAAAGCUAGGAAAUAGGUUUCAUUUAUUAAGGCAGAGAUACAAUAAUAGCAUCACAAAAGAACAGUUUAUUCCUUUGUGUGCGAUAUUUCUGAAUCCAUAACAAAACGUUGGUCCAGAAGAAGGCAUACGGAGGAUAAAGAACUCUCGGCAGUUGCUCAAUAAUUGUUCCAUCACUUUGUGCAAUAAAACAUUUACGGUUUCAAGGGUUAUCAUGUUGAUAAGGAUCUCUUAUCUCCGGACUGGCGAGUUGGAUAGGCCCUUUGCAUGGGAGUUUGACCAACAUUUUCUUUGGCGAUAAACGUCGGUUGCCCAAACCGAGAAAAAAAAAUCACUGAAUAAAAUCACCAGCUUGGCGAAUGAGGAAGAAGAAACCUAGAUUUAAAGGGUCACGGAGAGCGACAAAAAUAUGGUUAAAAGUUGAGCAGAGAAACAAAUAAUUUUUUUAUAUUACUUCAAUUCCGUUGGCGACGUACGUAUGUUGGCAUGAAUUGAGGAUGGAUGGAGGAAAGGUCUCACUCAUCCUCAGCUUGAGCAAUCAACAUUUUGCCAGACUCGCUGCUUUACACGACGACGGGUGGCCCAGCCCAGCAAAUAAAACAAAACAAAUAGGGAUGCGUCUCACAUUGGAUUGAUUCAGCCGAGAAGAAGAUACAAUUCUUACACAUGAUAAAUACAAAUACAUGCAAAGUAGAUACACAAUAA